UACAGAGGGUGCGAGCGUUAAUCGGAAUUACUGGGCGUAAAGCGUGCGUAGACGGCUAUCUAAGUCGGGUGUGAAAUCCCCGGGCUCAACCCGGGAACUGCGUCCGAUACUGGAAGGCUUGAAUCCGGGAGAGGGAUGCGGAAUUCCAGGUGUAGCGGUGAAAUGCGUAGAUAUCUGGAGGAACACCGGUGGCGAAGGCGGCAACUGUC
rnacentral:rRNA from 1 species